AUUUGGGUAGCUUAAUAAAAAGCACAUCCCUGAAGAGGAUAUGACGACAAAUGUCCCCAAAUA
rnacentral:tRNA from 1 species